ACGCUCGACACCUACGGGAGGAGCAGUGGGGAAUAUUGGGCAAUGGGCGCAAGCCUGACCCAGCAACGCCGCGUGAAGGAUGAAGGCUUUCGGGUUGUAAACUUCUUUUAUUCGGGACGAAGAAAAUGACGGUACCGAAUGAAUAAGCCACGGCUAACUACGUGCAGCAGCCGCGGUAAUCUGAGCGGGCUGGCAAGGC
rnacentral:rRNA from 1 species